UAGGGAAUAUUGGACAAUGGGGGCAACCCUGAUCCAGCCAUGCCGCGUGAGUGAAGAAGGCCCUCGGGUUGUAAAGCUCUUUUGUCCGGAAAGAAAAGCAUUCGGUGAAUACCCGGAUGUUCUGACGGUACCGGAAGAAUAAGCACCGGCUAACUUCGUGCCAGCAGCCGCGGUAAUACGAAGGGUGCAAGCGUUACUCGGAAUUACUGGGCGUAAAGCGUGCGUAGGUGGUUGUUUAAGUCUGGUGUGAAAGCCCUGGGCUCAACCUGGGAAUGGCAUUGGAAACUGGGUAGCUAGAGUGCGGUAGAGGGUAGUGGAAUUCCUGGUGUAGCAGUGACAUGCGUAGAGAGCGGGAGGAACAUCUGUGGCGAAGGCGACUGCCUGGACCAGCACU
rnacentral:rRNA from 1 species